rnacentral:rRNA from 1 species
GACGAACGCUGGCGGCGUGCCUAAUACAUGCAAGUUGAGCGCUGAAGGUUGGUACUUGUACCGACUGGAUGAGCAGCGAACGGGUGAGUAACGCGUGGGGAAUCUGCCUUUGAGCGGGGGACAACAUUUGGAAACGAAUGCUAAUACCGCAUAAAAACUUUAAACACAAGUUUUAAGUUUGAAAGAUGCAAUUGCAUCACUCAAAGAUGAUCCCGCGUUGUAUUAGCUAGUUGGUAAGGUAAAGGCUCACCAAGGCGAUGAUACAUAGCCGACCUGAGAGGGUGAUCGGCCACAUUGGGACUGAGACACGGCCCAAACUCCUACGGGAGGCAGCAGUAGGGAAUCUUCGGCAAUGGACGAAAGUCUGACCGAGCAACGCCGCGUGAGUGAAGAAGGUUUUCGGAUCGUAAAACUCUGUUGGUAGAGAAGAACGUUGGUGAGAGUGGAAAGCUCAUCAAGUGACGGUAACUACCCAGAAAGGGACGGCUAACUACGUG